GACGAACGCUGGCGGCGUGCUUAACACAUGCCAGUCGAACGGAAAGGCCCUGCUUUUGUGGGGUGCUCGAGUGGCGAACGGGUGAGUAACACGUGAGUAACCUGCCCUUGACUUUGGGAUAACUUCAGGAAACUGGGGCUAAUACCGGAUAGGAGCUCCUGCUGCAUGGUGGGGGUUGGAAAGUUUCGGCGGUUGGGGAUGGACUCGCGGCUUAUCAGCUUGUUGGUGGGGUAGUGGCUUACCAAGGCUUUGACGGGUAGCCGGCCUGGGAGGGUGACCGGCCACAAUGGGACUGAGAGACGGACCAGACUCCUACGGGAGGCAGCAGUGGGGAAUAUUGCACAAUGGGCGGAAGCCUGAUGCAGCAACGCCGCGUGCGGGAUGACGGCCUUCGGGUUGUAAACCGCUUUCGCCUGUGACGAAGCGUUAGUGACGGUAAUGGGUAAAGAAGCACCGGCUAACUACGUG
rnacentral:rRNA from 1 species